AUUCCCAUCUCAGUACAGUCUUGGCACUCGGGGAGGGCACAACCCCCGCACCUCCCCCUCCCGCCCCCCUCCUCUUCCUCUCGCUCGGCUUCGGAGGGGUAUGAGGGGAAAUAGGGAAAAAAAAGACUAACUAACACGGCCGGAUAAAUCACAAUCACGUGACGGAGGACCUCUCGACGCGCGACGCAAGAAACUCGCCGCCAUGUGCACCUCGCUGCUCUCGCCGUCGCUCCCGCCCGCUCCACGACCGACAACAAAGAACGUACACAAUACGAGGACGCGCGCGCGUGUGUCCUAUAAGGAGGUAACAGGAAUAGGAAAUGAAGCCCGUGGCCGCUUCCCCCCCCCCCCCCCCACUCCUCGCCCGGAAGGAUCUUCGCCACACAGAUCCUAAAAAGACAGCAGCAAGAGCACAGCCACAGGUGUUCAGAGGCACCUGCUGCAGACAGAUGUGUGUCACUGGGGCGGAUCGUUGGUCUCCUAACCCCCCCAUAGUCUGGUUACGACACCUACGUCCACCCUAUCCAAGCAAGCAGUGACGGCAAACAAAACAGGAGCAUGGAUUGCAAUGGAUUACUUUCUCAGGCCAGGCGGAGGUAGAGGACGUGACGUCAGCGGAAUGGUGAACCCCAGGAGUUACGUCACAGCGGUUGUGGACACUGACCGCCUGUGUCAUAAGCUUCGGUUUACACACAAACCCGCACGCAUUCGAAGGCACGUAAAGGCAUGCUUGUACAUGUGUAAAAAUAAACAAGCACUACACACAUGCAAUGAGCAAAACCAAGGCAAAUCAAAAUCAUAAUUGCACGAAGAGGUACGCAGGGAGAAAGUCCAAACGGGAUACCAUGAAUCCGGGCAGAGAAGGGAUGGGUCACACGAGGUCACAACUUCAGCCGCUUGAAAGUGCCACUACCGGCUCUGGCACCUUUGUGACCUGCAAGGACCGUCUCGGACCAAUGAACUCACCAUCAAAAUCGAUAAUCUGUCUAAAUUUGCAACAAUAGUCGGGAUGUAUACGAACACUUGCAAUAAACAUGUAACAGGGGUACAUACAUAUUCAACAACGAAUUUAUUAUACUUGUUUACCGCUGCAAUCAUGCAUCCAUCAUUGAACAUUUACCUUUCACUCAAUCUGUAGCUACCGCGCCUUCCCGUGCCUUGGUCCGCAGUUUUUAUUUCUUAUUUUCUCUUUUCCAUUCUUCCUCAUUUCCCUUCCUAUCUAUGGGCAUAAAACCAAGGCAGCUGUUCGUCUACACUACCUGUUUCUCCUCGCCGUCACCUCCAUAUCUGUCAUUCGUCCACCUAGUCCUUCCACUCUAUAAACAUCCUCCCUCUUUCCUCCCCAUAACACGACUCUCCCUAUCAACAAACCAAGCCAUUGGCACACUUGUGUAAAAGGGGAAAGAUGGGGUAUGGUGAGGGGGAAAGGGGGACCACCACCAACCUCUCUACUGUACACACGCGCCCCUCUUAAAAAACCGGCACGGUCGCCGGUUCCCCCUUGCUGAUGAGGUGCUCCGGAAGCCGCAAAGUGUGCGUGUGUUCUCCCCCACAAAAGGCAGUUCUCGCUUCCGCCCCCGAAUAAUCGCGGAAACUCGAAAUAAACAACUGACCCUUGGCACCGCACUAGUCGCAGCCUCCCAGAACAUUAAUAUCCAUUCCUUUCUUCCCUCAAACCCUUCCUUUCUCCUCUCCCUUCUCCCUUUCUCCUCUCCCUUCUCCCUUGGCAAACAGAUACAACCCACCCUGUGACCCGACCCACUGCCACCGGACACAUACAGAUGGAACACCUCAGUCUGAGAGGCGCCCCUGCAGAGUGACCCCCCCCCCCGCCACCUCCACCCUCCGACCUCCGAACCUGCAUUCCCGACUCCCGCGGCACGUCCGUCGGAGGCUGUAUCGGGUUCCCGCAUCUCCAGGGGUCGUCCCGUUUUAUCUUUUUGCACUCAUGUUACA